AUGGUCGUCGCCCAAUCUCUUUGUCCUCCUCCAGCAUCCGGUAGAAGAAGAAUCGAGCAAGACACCAGUUGUAUUCGCCGGCGUCGCCUCGGCGGUGGCCUUCAUGGGAUACAAUCGGCGGUGGCCUCCCAUGUUCUACUUUUCCUCAAUGAUGGUGGCGGGCGGGGACGUGCUGCCCAUCACCUCGUCCACAUCCGUGUAGCCGCAUCACCUCAUCGACAUCCGUGGUGGCUUCUUUAUCUGCCUGCAUGUCACGGUAACGCGCGCAUCGAUGGCAGAUGGCGCAGUGGCAGACACUGGAGGCGUUGUAUGAAGCGGCGGCGUCGACGGCGGCGACGAUGCCUAUGCCGCUGUGCUCCGCGACAAGCUGGCGUGGAGCAAGUUGGCACUCUUCCUCGAGCUGUAUUGGAGAGGGCAGUUGCAGAACCACGCGUUGGCUUAGUGCGGCAACUGCCUCCGACGGGCUAG
rnacentral:rRNA from 1 species